AGCGGCGGACGGGUGAGUAACGCGUGGGAAUAUGCCCUUCUCUAAGGAAUAGCCUCUGGAAACGGAGAGUAAUACCUUAUACGCCCUUCGGGGGAAAGAUUUAUCGGAGAAGGAUUAGCCCGCGUUAGAUUAGGUAGUUGGUGGGGUAAUGGCCUACCAAGCCUACGAUCUAUAGCUGGUUUGAGAGGAUGAUCAGCCACACUGGGACUGAGACACGGCCCAGACUCCUACGGGAGGCAGCAGUAGGGAAUCUUAGACAAUGGGGGAAACCCUGAUCUAGCCAUGCCGCGUGUGUGAUGAAGGCCUUAGGGUCGUAAAGCACUUUCGCCAGAGAUGAUAAUGACAGUAUCUGGUAAAGAAACCCCGGCUAACUCCGUGCCAGCAGCCGCGGUAAUACGGAGGGGGUUAGCGUUGUUCGGAAUUACUGGGCGUAAAGCGCACGUAGGCGGAUUAGUAAGUUAGAGGUGAAAUCCCAGGGCUCAACCCUGGAACUGCCUUUAAUACUGCUAGUCUUGAGUUCGAGAGAGGUAAGUGGAAUUCCAAGUGUAGAGGUGAAAUUCGUAGAUAUUUGGAGGAACACCAGUGGCGAAGCGGCUUACUGGCUCGAUACUGACGCUGAGUGCGAAAGUGUGGGGAGCAAACAGGAUAAGAUACCCUGCUAGUCCACACCGA
rnacentral:rRNA from 1 species